rnacentral:misc_RNA from 1 species
UGUGGUCAGCUCCUCUCAAAUGGAUCAGCUUACCAGUAUUUGGUGACGUCACAGGUGUGAUAACUAUCUACGCUCGUGGUCGUCUGCCAAGUAACCUUUGGCGACGGAGGUUUGCUGGAGCUUAUAAAUGUCUCUCCUCGGUGAAGACAGCUUUUCGACCGUUCGAUCUCAAAUCAGGUAGGACUACCCGCUGAACUUAA